rnacentral:rRNA from 1 species
GGAGGGUGCAAGCGUUAUCCGGAUUCACUGGGUUUAAAGGGUGCGUAGGCGGGCAGGUAAGUCCGUGGUGAAAUCUCUGAGCUUAACUCAGAAACUGCCAUGGAUACUAUUUGUCUUGAAUAUUGUGGAGGUGAGCGGAAUAUGUCAUGUAGCGGUGAAAUGCUUAGAUAUGACAUAGAACACCAAUUGCGAAGGCAGCUCACUACUCAAUCAUUGACGCUGAGGCACGAAAGCGUGGGGAUCAAACAGGAUUAGAUACCCUGGUAGUCCACGCCCUAAACGAUGAUUACUCGACAUCGGCGAUACACUGUCGGUGUCUGAGCGAAAGCAUUAAGUAAUCCACCUGGGAAGUACGAUCGCAAGAUUG